AACGUAGGAGACAAACGUUAUCCGGAGUUACUGGGCGUAAAGGGCGUGUAGGUGGUUGCGUAAGUCUGGCGUGAAAUUUUUCGGCUUAACCGGGAAAGGUCGUCGGAUACUGCGUAGCUAGAGGACGGUAGAGGCGUGUGGAAUUCCGGGUGUAGUGGUGAAAUGCGUAGAGAUCCGGAGGAACACCAGUGGCGAAGGCGACACGCUGGGCCGUACCUGACACUGAUGUGCGAAAGCUAGGGGAGCAAACGGG
rnacentral:rRNA from 1 species